rnacentral:tRNA from 1 species
GCGGCUGUAGCUUAGUGGUAGAGCGCUUGCCUAACAUGUGAGGCACUGAGUUCGAUUCUCAGCACUGCA